AAAUCGGAGUCACCUGCCUCCAGGGCAUGCUGGUAAGUGGUAGCUGUUUCCAAGACCUCACAGUGGCAGUCGCUACUGGCUUCUCUCUCCAGAGACCAGAUCACUGCCCCUCUCUGAGCCAGACACCCCUGAGCCAGAGGUGCUCAGUGCCAUCCAUCCCUUCAGCUACCACACUGUAGAAACUGGUGGCUAACGCAAAGGAUUUUUCUCCUUUUUCUUUUUCUUUUUUUUUUUUUUUGAGACGGAGUUUCGCUCUUGUUACCCAGGCUGGAGUGCAAUGGCGUGAUCUCGGCUCACCGCAACUUCUGCCUCCUGGGUUCAGGCAAUUCUCCUGCCUCAGCCUCCAGGGUAGCUGGGAUUACAGGCACGUGCCACCAUGCCCAGCUAAUUUUUUGUAUUUUUAGUAGACGGGGUUUCACCAUGAUGACCAGGAUGGUCUCGAUCUCUUGACCUCGUGAUCCACCCGUCUUGGCCUCCCAAAGUGCUGGGAUUACAGGCGUGAGCCACCGCACCUGGCCCGGAACUUUUCUUUAACGCCCAUAAUGUAUCUAAUAAAAAGAGCAUUGGAACACGUCUGGGCAGCACCAAGCGUGUCCAUCCAUCCUCAUGCUGCUAUAAAAAAAUACCUGGUCAACCAUUGUGGAAGGCAGAGCAGCGAUUCCUAAAGGAUCUAGAAAUAGAAAUUCCAUUUGACCCAGCAAUCCCAUUACUGGGUAUAAAUCCAAAGGAUUACAAAUCAUUCUACUAUAAGGACACAAGCACACGAAUGUUCAUUGCAGUACUGUUUAUAAUAGCAAAGACCUGGAACCAACCCAAAUGCCCAUCGAUGAUAGACUGGACAGGGAAAAUGUGGCACAUAUACACCAUGGAAUAUUAUGCAGCAAUAAAAACCGACAAGUUCGUGUCCUUUGUAGGGACAUAGAUGAACCUGAAGAACAUCAUUCUCAGCAAAGUGACACAAGAACAGAAAAUCAAACACCACAUGUUCUCACUCAUAGCAAAAGGUGAGCUUCAUGCAGUGGUGUAUGUUGGAAACAGAUGCCCGGUGCCACAGAGAAAAAUUAGCACUGAGACAAAGGAUCUCUCCGCAAAGCAGUUUUUUUUAAAUUCCUGCACUGCACGAAGGGCAGCCUUGCUAGCCAUCUUGCCGUGUGAGCACAACAGACGAAGGAAAGCAGACGUGUUUAUUUCUUAUGGGGCCGUCCUCACUGCUGUGUCUGAUCUCCAUUGGCCGGAGCUAGACCUCACAACCUAAACUAAAACCCAAUUGGCUAAUAACUUAAAACUUUUCUAAACAGGUAAGGGGCAUAGGCUGUGAGUUGGAACAUGCCUGUGAGCACUUCCAGCAGAGAUGUCUUGUUAAAGUACAAGGACAUAGAAUAUACCAUGUCCCUGUAAGCAUGGCAUGUUCGACAGCUACAUAGGAUAGGGCUUAACAAACAGUUAUUAGCAGAUUUAUUCUUUAACAAGAAAGGAAACUUUGAAGAAGUACUUUUUUACUUCCCACAGUA
rnacentral:lncRNA from 1 species